AUUGUGCAUGAAGAGAGGGUAACCUCAGCAACCUAGAAAGCAAACAAAGGUGCUAAAGAUGCGGUUUUUUAAACAAAAAAUAUGCUAUU
ncrna:unclassified sequences SAM-I/IV variant riboswitch